rnacentral:rRNA from 1 species
GACGAACGCUGGCGGCGUGCUUAACACAUGCAAGUCGAACGAGUGGCGAACGGGUGAGUAAUACGUGAGUAACCUGCCCUCUUUUUGGGAUAAGCCUUGGAAACGGGGUCUAAUACCGAAUACAGGGGGAUGGGCGCGCGGCCUAUCGGCUUGUUGGUGGGGUGAUGGCCUACCAAGGCGGUGACGGGUAGCCGGCCUGUGAGGCUGACCGGGCACAUUGGGACUGUGAUACGGCCCAGACUCCUGCGGGAGGCGGCAGUGGGGGAUAUUGCACAAUGGGCGAAAGCCUGAUGCAGCGACGCCGCGUGGGGGAUGAAGGCUUUCGGGUUGUAAACCUCGUGCGCUAUCGAACCGGUAGCUGGAGAAGAAGCGCCGGCUAACUACGUGCCAGCAGCCGCGGUAAUAC